rfam:Schistosoma mansoni, Puerto Rico, WGS project CABG01000000 data, contig: 0223
AUCCAGCUGAAGAGUCCUAAAAAAGACGAAACGCGCAUCCUGGAC